GCACAGUUUUCUGAAAGAGAAAGGGCGUGCUGAGUACUAUGGUGUCACGGAUGAGGAGGCAUUGGAAGGUGUAGAAAAUUCUAUUUUUUGUUUAGUCAUUAUUCACUUACUCUGGCCAUUUCUUAUUGUGAUUACUGCUUCUUGUUAUGGUCUACCUGUAAACAAUUUGUUCUGUGCAUAAAUAAUUUGUUGUCAUGAAAAUGUGCUAUUUCAUUUUUGAAGUUCUCAACUCCUUGGCUCAUUCCCUUUGGAGUUCGGAUUAUAAGUUUUCUGAUUCUUUUGAAUAAAAUUUUUAGAUGGAUUUUUUUUUAAUCUUUCUUAAAAAACUAAUUCUAGGACCAAUUCAUUUAUUUCAUACAAUUGCAAAUUUUGUUACUCACAAGGAAUGUUGGAAGGAUUGCCAUACAUUUGUAUUCCUUAGCUUCUGUAUCCCUCCUGCAUUCUGAAAAUAAGAAAGAAAUCAAUUAAAUAACAAUUUCAUCCCUCUUAUAAUAUCCAUGGAACAAUAACUUUAUUCUUCUGAGAGAAAAACUACCGCUAACUAGUUGUUUGAUUUAACUUGUUGGGAUUCCCGGGUGGUUGUUUCAGGUAUUUAAAAUGAUUUGCUAUCAUUGAAAGUGUAGCAGUUCAUAUAU
rnacentral:misc_RNA from 1 species